rnacentral:tRNA from 1 species
GGGAGCGUAGCUCAGAUGGUAGAGUGCUCGCUUAACAUGCGAGAGGUACGAGGAUUGAUACCCCCUCGCCUCCG